GACGAACGCUGGCGGCGUGCCUAAUACAUGCAAGUCGAGCGGACAGAAGGGAGCUUGCUCCCGGAAGUUAGCGGCGGACGGGUGGGUAACACGUGGGCAACCUACCCUGUAGAUCGGGAUAACAUCGAGAAAUCGGUGCUAAUACCGGAUAAUCAUUUGAAGUGCAUGCUUCGAAUGUAAAAGAUGGCUCCGGCUAUCACUACGGGAUGGGCCCGCGGCGCAUUAGCUAGUUGGUAAGGUAAUGGCUUACCAAGGCAACGAUGCGUAGCCGACCUGAGAGGGUGAUCGGCCACACUGGGACCGAGACACGGCCCAGACUCCUACGGGAGGCAGCAGUAGGGAAUCUUCCGCAAUGGACGAAAGUCUGACAGAGCAACGCCGCGUGAGUGAUGAAGGUUUUCGGAUCGUAAAGCUCUGUUGUUAGGGAAGAACAAAUGCCGUUUGAAUAAGGCGGCACCUUGACGGUACCUAACCAGAAAGCCACGGCUAACUACGUGCCAGCCGCCGCCGUAAAAC
rnacentral:rRNA from 1 species